rnacentral:rRNA from 1 species
ACGCACGCUGGCGGCAUGCCUCACCCAUGCAAGUCGCACGAGACCUUCGGGUCUAGUGGCGCACGGGUGCGUAACGCGUGGGAACCUGCCCUUAGGUUCGGAAUAACUCCCCGAAAGGGGUGCUAAUACCGGAUAAUGUCUUCGGACCAAAGAUUUAUCGCCUUUGGAUGGGCCCGCGUUGGAUUAGCUAGUUGGUAGGGUAAAAGCCUACCAAGGCGACGAUCCAUAGCUGGUCUGAGAGGAUGAUCAGCCACACUGGGACUGAGACACGGCCCAGACUCCUACGGGAGGCAGCAGUGGGGAAUAUUGGACAAUGGGCGAAAGCCUGAUCCAGCAAUGCCGCGUGAGUGAUGAAGGCCUUAGGGUUGUAAAGCUCUUUUACCCGGGAUGAUAAUGACAGUACCGGGAGAAUAAGCGCCGGCUAACUCCGUG